CCCCUUAAGAGACAAAUGUUUGAUUUAGUUGCGGCAAUGGCAAGAGCAUAUUGUGCGGAAGAUGAUGAACCUUAAUGCGUUGAACCUUGUAUACUAGAACCUUGCAGGUGUUUUUGCAGAAGUAUUUUGUUGUGCACAUGUAAAAUUAUUUUGA